rnacentral:rRNA from 1 species
ACGAACGCUGGCGGCGUGCCUAAUACAUGCAAGUAGAACGCUGAAGAGAGGAGCUUGCUCUUCUUGGAUGAGUUGCGAACGGGUGAGUAACGCGUAGGUAACCUGCCUUGUAGCGGGGGAUAACUAUUGGAAACGAUAGCUAAUACCGCAUAACAAUGGAUGACACAUGUCAUUUAUUUGAAAGGGGCAAUUGUUCCACUACAAGAUGGACCUGCGUUGUAUUAGCUAGUAGGUGAGGUAAUGGCUCACCUAGGCGACGAUACAUAGCCGACCUGAGAGGGUGAUCGGCCACACUGGGACUGAGACACGGCCCAGACUCCUACGGGAGGCAGCAGUAGGGAAUCUUCGGCAAUGGGGGCAACCCUGACCGAGCAACGCCGCGUGAGUGAAGAAGGUUUUCGGAUCGUAAAGCUCUGUUGUAAGUCAAGAACGGGUGUGAGAGUGGAAAGUUCACACUGUGACGGUAGCUUACCAGAAAGGGACGGCUAACUACGUGCCAGCAGCCGCGGUAAUACGUAGGUCCCGAGCGUUGUCCGGAUUUAUUGGGCGUAAAGCGAGCGCAGGCGGUUUGAUAAGUCUGAAGUUAAAGGCUGUGGCUCAACCAUAGUUCGCUUUGGAAACUGUCAAACUUGAGUGCAGAAGGGGAGAGUGGAAUUCCAUGUGUAGCGGUGAAAUGCGUAGAUAUAUGGAGGAACACCGGUGGCGAAAGCGGCUCUCUGGUCUGUAACUGACGCUGAGGCUCGAAAGCGUGGGGAGCGAACAGGAUUAGAUACCCUGGUAGUCCACGCCGUAAACGAUGAGUGCUAGGUGUUGGAUCCUUUCCGGGAUUCAGUGCCGCAGCUAACGCAUUAAGCACUCCGCCUGGGGAGUACGACCGCAAGGUUGAAACUCAAAGGAAUUGACGGGGGCCCGCACAAGCGGUGGAGCAUGUGGUUUAAUUCGAAGCAACGCGAAGAACCUUACCAGGUCUUGACAUCCCGAUGCUAUUUCUAGAGAUAGAAAGUUACUUCGGUACAUCGGUGACAGGUGGUGCAUGGUUGUCGUCAGCUCGUGUCGUGAGAUGUUGGGUUAAGUCCCGCAACGAGCGCAACCCCUAUUGUUAGUUGCCAUCAUUCAGUUGGGCACUCUAGCGAGACUGCCGGUAAUAAACCGGAGGAAGGUGGGGAUGACGUCAAAUCAUCAUGCCCCUUAUGACCUGGGCUACACACGUGCUACAAUGGUUGGUACAACGAGUUGCGAGUCGGUGACGGCGAGCUAAUCUCUUAAAGCCAAUCUCAGUUCGGAUUGUAGGCUGCAACUCGCCUGCAUGAAGUCGGAAUCGCUAGUAAUCGCGGAUCAGCACGCCGCGGUGAAUACGUUCCCGGGCCUUGUACACACCGCCCGUCACACCACGAGAGUUUGUAACACCCGAAGUCGGUGAGGUAACCUUUUGGAGCCAGCCGCCUAAGGUGGGACAGAUGAUUGGGGUG